rnacentral:lncRNA from 1 species
ACAGGAAAGAAUUUCUUCCCUGAUUCUGAUGGAAGUUUGGCUCCAUGGACCAAGUCUACAAGUCAGGGUGUUGGAGACAAGAGUGGAUGUUUCUGAACUAAUUGUACAGGGAAGAUGCAUUCUGCAUGUGUCCAGACAUAUAUAUAUAUAUAUUCUUGGCUCCUGGAACAGGAUUGUCAAUUAGGAAGCUGGUGGAGAGCAUGCUGUUAGAGACGCUCAUUAGGACAAAUAGCUCAUGGGUUUGCACUUGCUCCUCUCCUCCCCAAGGCCGGUUAGGAACAA